GUAAUUUUUAUCCAUUAGUUAAAAAAAACCAAACCAAAGGCUAAAUUUCCUCUCAUUGAAUUAACCAAGUUUUAUUUGUUUGGUUUGGUUAUAAUUUAAUAGUGCUUGCCACUAGGGCACCUACAUUGAUAUGUUUUAUUAAGGCUCUUCUAAAUGGUAAUCACUGGGCAAUACCCAGUUUGUCACCUUGUUACAAGGAUACCAUCUUUUCCUAGCACCACAAUAGCAUUUCACCCUUGACAGUAACUAAUAUAACCUCACAAAGCAUUACAACAUGAACCCACAAUCCAAGUUUGCAAAAAAUUUCACAAUCUAGUUUAAUAAGCAUCCUCUAUGUUAAGAUCCCACAUUGGUUUG
rnacentral:misc_RNA from 1 species